rnacentral:rRNA from 1 species
AUAAUUCGAUGCAACGCGAAAACCUUACCUACCUUGACAUGUCCGGAAUCCCGAAGAGAUUUGGGAGUGCUCGCAAGAGAACCGGAACACAGGUGCUGCAUGGCUGUCGUCAGCUCGUGUCGUGAGAUGUUGGGUUAAGUCCCGCAACGAGCGCAACCCUUGUCAUUAGUUGCCAUCAUUUGGUUGGGCACUCUAAUGAGACUGCCGGUGACAAACCGGAGGAAAGGUGGGGAUGACGUCAAGUCCUCAUGGCCCUUAUGGGUAGGGCUUCACACGUCAUACAAUGGUCGGUACAGAGGGUUGCCAACCCGCGAGGGGGAGCUAAUCCCACAAAGCCGAUCGUAGUCCGGAUCGCAGUCUGCAACUCGACUGCGUGAAGUCGGAAUCGCUAGUAAUCGUGGAUCAGCAUGUCGCGGUGAAUACGUUCCCGGGUCUU